rnacentral:lncRNA from 1 species
GCGCCAGCACCGUGUUCUGCUCAAUCCCAGUCGCUGUGAAGCCGCCAGCGAUGUGUUUGCACUGGUCUGAGGUGAACUGGGAGCCAGUCGGAGCCACAGUGGAGAGAUCUACUCAGUGUCUGGAUACACGCGACUGGAAUAAGACGACCCUCGGGAACAGCUGCAUCAAUCACUGAGGUCAGUGCUAAAGGACAGCUCCACCGCGACAGAGCGCUUUGAUCGUCUCCUCACAAGUCACAAUUUGAAACGUCCUCGCAUGUCAGCAGCCGCUGCUAAAAUUAAUAUGGUAAAAGCAGCCCAGUUGUGAUUUUCUUCAUAAACACAAAGUGUGAUUACUUAAUUAGUAAUCAGUAAAUAAAUGUGUGGUCCAGGAGAAACA